UACGUAGGGACCAAGCGUUGUUCGGAUUUACUGGGCGUAAAGGGCGCGUAGGCGGCGUGGUAAGUCACUUGUGAAAUCUCUGAGCUUAACUCAGAACGGCCAAGUGAUACUGCUGUGCUAGAGUGCAGAAGGGGCAAUCGGAAUUCUAGGUGUAGCGGUGAAAUGCGUAGAUAUCAAGAGGAACACCUGAGGUGAAGGCGGGUUGCUGGGCUGGCACUGACGCUGAUGCGCGAAAGCCAGGGGAGCGAACGGG
rnacentral:rRNA from 1 species